GUUGGUAAGGAUGUCAGAGUGUAGUUUGCAUGUGUUUACUUAAAAUUUAAUGUGUGUAAUUAGUUUGAAAGAAAUUAUAUUGUACUGGCAAUCAAAAAUCCCACUCCAUGUAUGAGUCACACCCUUGGCAGGGUCAUAGGGCCAUGUGAAAACUAUGAAAAAGGUCAAAGAAGGUUAAUGAGCUUUGAGGUUUUUCUUUUUCACCCAAACACGCAUCUUAACCCUUGAUUGCGCUUUUUCACUUGUUAUUGUUUUUGUACGGAGAUAAAAGGUGCACUUGAAUUUGAAGUAGAAGUUCAGAAGCCCCUAAACACAUUGUUUUAGUUUUCACCACAAGAAAAUGCUGAUUGUUUAGUCUGGUAGAUUUUAUACAAAGUUUGAGUUCACACAGAUGUUCUCACAGCCGAACCUAUGAAUAUGUGCUGCUUGAGGGGUUGAUCAUUUCAUUGUUUGCAAGAUGAAGAGAAGUUACUCAGCAGAGGAAGCUCUGAAGCUAGAGGAUGAAGAGUUGAGCUCAGAGGAUGACGUUGAGUUUGAGCUGGAGUCUGACCCCUCUGAUAGCUCUUUUCUUCUGAUGAAAGCACUGAGAGUGAGCACAUGGAGGAUACAGCACAUUCUCAGUGGAAUUCAAAAAAUGGCCAGAUUGUUUGAUCAUUUUCCGAGCCACCAUGUCCCACCGUAAAUUCAGGCUCCUGAGCUCCACCAUGAGGUUUGAUGACAAGCUGACAUGAACUGCACGUCACAGGGUCGACAAGCUGGCUGCAUUUCGGACUAUCUGGGAGAAGUGGACAGAUCGCCUUCCAAUGCUGUUCAACCCAGGCUAGGAUGUCUGUGUGGAUGAGCAGCUGGUCCCUUUCAGAGGCUGAUGUGGAUUUCGCCAGUACAUCCCUAGCAAGCCUGCCAAGUAUGGCAUAAAGGUUUGGGUCACUUGUGACGUCAAAACAUCCUAUGCAUGGAAGAUGCAAAUAUACACAGGGAAGUCUCCUGGAAGUCCUACGGAAGUGAACCAGGGAAAAAGGGUUGUCCUGGACAUGACGGAGGGGCUCCAGGGAAACACUGUGACCUGCGGCAAUUUUUUCACUUCUUAUGCACUGGCUGAAGAACAUCUAAAGAGGAAGAUGGCCCUAGUUGGUACAAUUCGUGCUGCUCCUUAGCACCAAGUAUCGAGAGCCGGCUGUGAGUGACACAGAAAAAAAGAAGCCAGUGAUCAUCAUAGACUACAACCGCUGCAAAGGAGGUGUCGACAACCUGGACAAGGUUGUUGGCACCUACAGCUGUAGGAGAAGUACAUGUCGGUGGCCAGUGGUUCUCUUCUACAACCUUGUUGAUGUCUCAACCUUCAACUCUUUUGUACUGUGGACGGCGGUGGACCCCUCCUGGAACCAGGGCAAAACAUUCAGAUGGUGGCUGUUUCUCGAGGAACUGGGGAAGAUGUUGGUAAUGCCACAAAUAUCAUGAAGACAGCGGAUCCCCUGCCAACCUUCUGCCUCCACCAUGGUGGAGGAUCAACAGUAGGAAAACCCAAACACCCGCAAGAGAAAGUUCUGCAAGUUCUGCACUGACAAAAAGAAAAAAGUUGCCUCCAUCUGCAAGAAGUCCAUACACUGACAUACUGCACCUCCUGCUGUGAAUUCCCUCUCACUCAGUUCAUCAUCUCUAUUCAUAUUCCUGUUCAUAUACCUGUGGUUUCUGUACUCUGUGUUCUUGGGUUUUGAACAAUAAAUCUUGUUUUUGUU